rnacentral:lncRNA from 1 species
UCUUCUUCUUUCUUUAUUUUGCCGAAACACCAUUGUUGGAAGACUUGGGAGCUUCGGUUUGUGCUAUUCUUGGAUGCAUGUAAGUGUGUUUUAGUUUAUUUUUUCAUGAUUUGUAUAUUUUUGAGUUAGUUGAAAUGGUAUUUAUCUGGUAUAGGGAUUAAUUUAUGAAAUUGAUGAAGUUUAGAAAAAUGUCCAUUGAUGUUUUUGAUGUUUAUUGAUGUCUAUGUUUUGGGUUGAAGUUAAAUGAUGAAUUUUAGCUAUUUUGUAAAGUAAGUUUCAGUGAUUUUUAAGAUUAGGGUUUAAAUAAAUAAAAUGUUAAAAUUAUUAGGCUUUCUUGAGAGUAGGAGCUGGUUUGGAGUGGUUAAAAUUUGGUUUUAUGGGAAAAAGGUUAAUUUUAUAAAUAAUCAUGUUUUGGUCUUUGGAACCAAAUUGAGUAAAAUGUAAAGUUUGGGGAUAAUAUGUAAAUAAUGUAAAUAAGAAAUUAGAUGUAUUAAGUUGAAUAGGAUGUGAAAUUUAAGCUAAUAAUUGAAAUAAAUUAUAUUACAGAUCAAGAUCAAGUUGAUAAUCGAGGAAAAGGGAAGGUUAUUCAUUAAUCCUUGGACUUUUGUUGUUUUUGCAGUUUGACCCUGGUAAGUUCGUACGGUUUUAUUUUAGUAUAAUUUAAACAUUUAAUUAUUUACUAAUUGGAAUUGCUAAAUGAUUUAAAAAUGAUGAAUAGUAGUAAGUGGGUUGAUUUGAGAUAGAAAUCAUAUUGAAUGUUCUUACGAAUUAAAUAAGUGAACCGAUGAACAUAGGAUAGGAUACGAUUGGCAUGCCAAUAGGUUAUAUCGUGCUCUGUAUGAGAUUGAUUGAUGUUGAAAUAAUGAUUUUGUUUAAUUAUUGUUUAUUGAAUAAACCAAAGUUCAACAUUUGUUGCGAACUAUCGCGUUAUAUUAUAGUGAUUUAGGUGUGUCUUGGGGGCGGAUGUAAAGCAUUCGGGCUUGGCACUCAGUACUGAGGUGUGUUUUAGAGGGAUGUUAGCCUACGGGUUCGACACUUAGUGCCCAAGUGUGUUUUCGGAUGGUUAGCUCAUUGAGCAUUUUAGUGUGUUUGAAUGGUUAACUGUGCAUACAGGUCUGUCAUAACGUUCACCAGGUUUAUUUUUAAUGGAUAAUGUAAUUGAUUGGAUUGUUCCAUUUGUAAUUAAGUUUAAAACUCACCCAUGAUUUGGUUAUGGAUGACAGGAUUAUGAUUUAUGACUUUUAUGUAUUAUGUUAUAGAUAAGUUUAUUCAGUAAGUUAAUUGUUUUUAAUCUGUAAAACUUACUAAGCUUAAGUAAACUUACUUGUGACUUCUCUAUUGUUUUCCUGUAAAUAUGUCUUUUGAAGAAAGGGGCGAUUAGAUCAACUAAAAGAAUCACAUUAUCCGAAAAAUCUUUGGUAGUUUUUGAAUAUUCAUUUUGGUAAUAUAGCAUGUAAUAGGUGAAAUGUUGUUAUGUUGGAUAAUAAUUACUUGUGGUAGUUGCCAUAUUUGAAUGUUGUUGGUAUUGCAUAGAUUUUGACAUUUAUGUAUAUAUGGCUUUGAUGUUUGGCUUAUACUGAUUAGUAGGUAAAUAUAUAUAUAUUUAGUUAUUUGGUUGUGUGCUACUUUUGGAUGGUUGAUUUAUGGUUCAAGUAAGCUUGAAUGGUACAUUUGAAUGAGGAAAUUGUAUGUGAUCUUAGUAAGAAUUUUAGGCUUAUAUGAUAUUAAUUUGAUUAUUGAAUCGUGGUGUCAAUGAGGGUACAUUUUUUAGAAUUUUUUUAUGACUGAAUACGCAUAAAAAUGCCUUUUGGGGUGAUAGGAAAAUUUGGUAUAAAAUGAACUUUUAAAGACAAGUUUUUAUCAUUUUCAACUUAGGUAUCGAUACUUUGGCAAUUAGUAUCGAUACUUGACCAUAUGAACAAUUUUAAAACAAGUAGAAUACCAAAUGGUAUCGAUUUUUGAGUAUCGAUACUUUUUCAUAAAAUAUCGAUACCCUAAAAUAAGUAUUGAUACCAUUUUUUUACAAAGAAAACAAUAUACAAUUUUGGUAUCGAUUUUCAGAAAGGUAUCGUUUCAAUAUCGAUACCAACUAUGGAUUUUCAAUAUUUUCAUUAAAAAUUUUGUAAAUCUAUCUUAUUCUAUGCUUGGAUUUUACAAUUAGAUACUUUUAGAGUUUAAAAUUUUAAUAUGUUUGAUUAUAUAGAAUAUCAAUUAUCAAUAAGUAAGUAUUGUUUAGUAAGUAGUUAUCAAUUGUUGACUAUUAUUGUAGCAUCUCUUUACUCGGGUCCAGUGACCGAGCCAGGUAAGAGGUGUUACACAACAACUCGACAACGUUUGAAACAGAGGCAAAACAGAGGCGAUGGCGUGACGAAGAGCCUAGGACAUCACGACGACGUGACGAAUUUCAAACUUAAAGUAGUUACGUAAUAGACUCUCAGCAUGUAACACACCAAAAUAUAUAGGGUUAGAAGUAAUAAUUAACCAAAAAAUGAGUUUUAGUCUUAAUGGUUAAGAACUUAGUGUAUUCCUUAAAGAUUUAAGGUCCAAUUCACUCCUCUCUCAUUUCUUUGUUUUAAUUUUUCAGCAAACUAGAAUGAAAACCCCCCUAAAAUAUAUAUUAAAUGGAAUAAAACAUAUUAAGAGUGGAUAGCAAGCUAAAUGGCUAAGCCCUUUCAUUCAUUCCCUUAUUUCUUGGGUUCAAAUCACACCAAACUCAUCCCUCAUUUUUAUUUUUUUAUUUUCGACAAAAGGGUAUUUUUCCAUUCAGUAUUUCAAAUUUUGAAAUCCCUAGGUAUUUAAUCUCUUAUCCAAAUCAAAAUAGAACUCUAGUUUUGUUUUUCCAAUUGAACUAAAAUUUUACUUUCUUUUUCCCAAAUUCUUUCCCCUUUUUUUUCUUCUCCUUUGCAAAUAAUUUUCUUUCAUUCCUGAAAAUUUUAUUUUAAUCUUGAACUCGAAAUCGAUCUCCAUUCAAUUGUUCUUCUUAUCAAUUUAGUGUAACGCCGUAAAAUCUCGUCUCUAACGUUUCUAAGAAUCGACAAGAACAUUUCAAUUCUGACAUUUUGAUCUCAAAAUAUCUGUAGAAUUUCUGUUCACGUUAAUUUCAAAACGAUUAAACAAUCUUUUACGAAUCUUGUUGAUAUCUCCUGAAAUCUCGACUUUUCUUGAAAACCAUUAUUAAUUCUUGCGUAUUUGUUUGUUGAAAGACUCUUUGCAAGUAUCCUGAAUCAGAUUUGGACAUGAGGAUCAUCAUUCGAGACCCCGAUGACAGUGUAUGUUCUUUUACGAGUAAAUCAGGGUAAAAUCGAGUCUAGAAUAAGGCCACAUAGCUAACCACACGAGCGUGUGGGCCACACAACCCUCUCACAUGACCAUGUCCACCCUGAAACCCUAGGAGUUCGAAUUGCGCAUGGCCUAAACCUCUCUACACGGCCUAGCCACACUGUCGUGUCUCCCCUGUAGGUUGAUUUUACGAAUGCCAUACAGCCACAAUCUGUCAUACGGUCAUGUACACCAUCCACACGGUCCAGGGCUUCCUACACGGUCCAGUCGCACGGCCGUGUGUCCCUUAUAACUCAAAAUUUAUAGUUUUGACCCAUAAUCUUUAAGAUUUGUGUAGUUUAGUCCCUGGUUUCGGAACUGUUUUAAUGUUUAAUUUUGUGCAAUUAAGUCCUUGAUAAUAUAAAACUUGAUAAAAAAACAUGCCUUACUUGAUAAAAUUGAUAUCAUAUUUAAAUGUCAUUGCAUGAAUUAUGAAUAAUAUAUAUGACUAUUGUAUAUAUACACUUGCAAUCGUAUGAACGACAUGCCUUAUGUUAUUGUUAAUCUGAAUACAUGGAAAACAUGAUUUUUGCUACUGAUUUUCCUUAUGUUAGUACAUUAAUUGCUAUCAUAUGUGAUAUGUAUAAAUAUGUUGCAUUGCAUUGCAUGGGAUGGGACUAUGUCAUCGGAUGAAGUCUAGUAGUUUAUUUGCAUUUAUCUAUUUCGUUAUGUAUCCACGGCCAAAGGCAGAUUCCAUCUGUGGGGACUGCUGUGUAUCCAAAGCCAAAGGCAGAUUCCAACUGCGAGUUAUAUUGCAAAAUCUACAGCCAAAAGCAGGUGAUUUUGUUAGAUACCGUUAUACGGUGUUGUUGUGUACAAAUUGUGAUGUACGAAGAUCUGGGCUUGCGGAGGGGGCACUACAGUGUUCGAACAUUAAGGUUAGAAAUGGCAAACUGGAAGAAUGGGCGGAGAAAUAGGAAAAUUAGAAUUUCGUUAAGAUACCGCCAUAUGGUGUUGCUGAGUGCAAACACAAUGUGAAAUGAGAAUUAGGUCAUUCGAGAUGACACCGUGACGACGGUUAUUAGGUUCCAUAGAGCAACAUCGUGAUAGUGAUCAACAGGCUCUAUGGGGCGACACUGCAAUAAUGAUAAGGUCCUAUGGGGCGACACCUCUAAAGAGGUCUAACAUGUAAGACCAUAGCUCGGCUAUGGAAACCAGUAUAGUCCGUUGGGAUAGUAAACACGGGGAAGUCCAUCGGGACAAUAAACACAGGGAUGUCCGCUAGGACACCAAAUAUGGGAUUUCAAGUGUAAGAUCGUAGCUCGACCAUGGCAUCAUGUACGAGCUGCCUAAAAGGGAUGAAUUCAAAAUCUAACAGGACAAGUUAAUAGAGAUUGAGGUACAACUUGGCCGGAAGAGAGCAUGUAAAAUGGGGCAAAACAAAGAUUCCCCAACACGUAAGAAUAAGGUGAAACAGGUAGAAAAGACUGAGGUGGUAGAUAAACCUCUUAAAGAGGAUUUGAGGGUCAAGUUAUAGGGAACACGCAAGUACAAGUUUCUAGAUAUUUGGAAAAUAACCUAGAAGCGGGGGAUGAAUAAAUGAUUGAGUAGAACCUAAGGGUCCGCAGAUAAAGGUCAGCCAGAGGGGUUAAGUCCACCGAAGCCCACACGGAGGUUAAGUCACUCAGGUUAAUAGAAGAAGGAAGUCGCCAAUGACUAACCUAGGAUGGGUAGUUCGUCCAUAAACAUUGGAGGUUAAGAACCUGAAACUUUAGGAAGUAAAUCGAAGACACCGAAGACACCAAUGACAGGCAUUGGAAUUCACAUCCAAGGUCGUGAGGAAAACGAGAAAGUUGGGUUGAUUAGGAAUCCAACAUGUACCACUGGAAGACUACUACAAUAAAGGAAUACGUGUAUUUCUCAAACAGAGAAUGAUUCUGCAGCAGUAACCAGCGGGGAAAAGGGGGAGGCAUUGAUUUCAUAGGUGAAAUCUACGGAAGACUAAUAGUAUACGGGGAGUUUAAAUUCUCUGCUUUAAAUCUUUGUCCUUUAGAAAUUUGAAAUAUAAUUGCUACCCUAUUUUAUCGAAUAAGUUCAUUGGAACUUAUGAUUAUAUUGUUUUGGCUGCAAGGUUAAUGAUUAAAUUAGAGGCUAUGGAAGAGGAUCGAGCCUGACUCCGCCAAUUGAGGAAAAAUAGAGUGGUAGCCGUAACUUGCAUAAGAGGGGCACUCCUAGAGGCUACGCCUCGAAGGUUUAGUUGGAUCAUGAAAUUUUAAAGUUUUAAAUUCAAAAUUUUAAAUAAGGUUGUAAAGAAAUAAAUUUAAAAGACGUAUAUAGUGGUAUGGUUUAAUGUGUAUAUUAAACAAUCGAGAAUAAAAUAAGAUUUGAU